GACGAACGCUGGCGGCGUGCUUAACACAUGCAAGUCGAGCGGUAAGGCCCUUUCGGGGGUACACGAGCGGCGAACGGGUGAGUAACACGUGGGUGACCUGCCCUCAGCUCUGGGAUAAGCCUGGGAAACCGGGUCUAAUACUGGAUAUGACUCCAUGACGCAUGUUGUGGGGUGGAAAGCCUUGUGCGGCUGAGGAUGGGCCCGCGGCCUAUCAGCUUGGUUGGUGGGGUGANGGCCUACCAGGCGACGA
rnacentral:rRNA from 1 species